UACGGAGGAUCCGAAGCAGUUGUUCCGGAUUUAUUGGGUUUAAAGGGUGCGUAGGCGGGUUAUUAAGUUCAGUGGUGAAAGCCGGCAGCUCAACUGUCGAACUGCCAUUGAAACUGAUAGCCUAGAAUCUAGUAGAGGUAGGCGGAAUGUAUCAUGUAGCGGUGAAAUGCUUAGAUAUGAUACAGAACACCAAUUGCGAAAGCAGCUUACUAUGCUAGUAUUGACGCUGAAGGCACGAAAGCGUGGGGAUCAAACAGG
rnacentral:rRNA from 1 species